ensembl:lncRNA
GCAGAGCCCAUAGUGUGAUGGGGUCAGGUGGUUGCGCUAUGGGGCAGAGCCCCACGUGGGGGAGGUUAUGGGGCAGAGCCCAUAGUGUGAUGGGGUCAGGUGGUUGCGCUAUGGGGCAGAGCCCCACAUUGUGGAGGUUAUGGGGCAGAGCCCCACAUGGGGGAGGUUAUGGGGCAGAGCCCAUAGUGUGAUGGUGUUCCGUGGUUACGCUAUGGGGCAGAGCCCCACAUGGCGGAGGUUAUGGGGCAGAGCCCAUAGCGUGAUGGUGUUCCGUGGUUACGCUAUGGGGCAGAGCCCCACAUGGCGGAGGUUAUGGGGCAGAGCCCAUAGUGUGAUGGAGUCCGGUGGUUACGCUGUGGGGCAGAGCCCCACAUGGAGGAGGUUAUGGGGCAGAGCCCCACGUGGGGGAGGUUAUGGGGCAGAGCUCAUACUGUGAUGGGGUCCGGUGGUUACGCUAUGGGGCAGAGCCCCACGUGGGGGAGGUUAUGGGGCAGAGCCCAUAGUGUGAUGGUGUUCCGUGGUUACGCUAUGGGGCAGAGCCCCACGUGGGGGAGGUUAUGGGGCAGAGCUCCUCGUAGGAGAGGUUAUGGGGCAGACCCAGCGCUAUGGGGCAGUUGCAGCACUAUAGGGCAGACCCACUGCUAUGGGUCCCACCCUUUGCUAUGGGGCAGAUGCAGUGCUAUGGGGCAGACCCGGCACUAUAGGGCAGAUGCAACACCAUAGGGCAGACCCACUGCUAUGGGUCACACCCAGCGCUAUGGGGCAGACGCAGUGCUAUGGGGCAGAGGUAGCGCUAUGGGUCACACCCAUUGCUGUGGGGCAGAGGUAGCGCUAUGGGUCACACCCAGCGCUAUAGGGCAGAGGUAGCGCUAUGGGCCACACCCAUUGCUGUGGGGCAGAGGCAGCGCUAUGGGUCACACCCAGCGCUAUGGGGCAGACCCAGUGCUAUGGGGCAGGGGCAGCGCUAUGGGUCACCCCCGUUGCUGUGGGGCAGCGGCAACGCUAUGGGGCAGACCCAGUGCUAUGGGCCACACCCAGCGCUAUGGGGCAGACCCACUGCUAUGGGUCACACCCAGCGCUGUGGGGCAGACCCACUGCUAUGGGUCACACCUGGUGCUAUGGGGCAGACCCACUGCUAUGGGUCACACCCAGCACUAUGGGUCACACCUGGUGCUAUGGGGCAGAGGCGGCGCUAUGGGUCACAUCUGGUGCUAUGGGGCAGAGGCGGCGCUAUGGGUCACAGCCAUUGCUGUGGGGCAGACCCGGUGCUAUGGGGCAGAGCCAGCACUAUAGGGCUGAUGCAGCACUAUAGGGCAGACCCACUGCUAUGGGUCACACCCGGCGCUAUGGGUCACACCUGGUGCUAUGGGGCAGAGGCGGUGCUAUGGGUCACAGCCAUUGCUGUGGGGCAGACGCAGUGCUAUGGGGCAGAUCCAGCACUAUAGGGCAGACCCAGUGCUAUGGGGCAGACCCACUGCUAUGGGUCACACCCGGCGCUAUGGGGCAGACCCGUUGCUGUGGGGCAGAGGCAAUGCUAUGGUGCAGACCCACUGCUAUGGGUCACACCCAGCGCUAUGGGGCAGACCCACUGCUAUGGGUCACACCUGGCGCUAUGGGGCAGACCCGGUGCUGUGGGGCAGAGGCGGCGCUAUGGGGCAGACCCACUGCUAUGGGUCACACCCGGUGCUAUGGGGCAGACCCGGUGCUGUGGGGCAGAGGCAAUGCUAUGGUGCAGACCCACUGCUAUGGGUCACACCCAGCGCUAUGGGGCAGACCCACUGCUAUGGGGCAGACCCGUUGCUGUGGGGCAGAGGCGGCGCUAUGGGGCAGAUUCCCGUGGAGGGCGCGGUCGGUGGGGCAGCGCCGUG